GAUGAACGCUGGCGGCGUGCCUAAUACAUGCAAGUCGAGCGAACAGAUAAGGAGCUUGCUCCUUUGACGUUAGCGGCGGACGGGUGAGUAACACGUGGGUAACCUACCUAUAAGACUGGGAUAACUUCGGGAAACCGGAGCUAAUACCGGAUAAUAUUUCGAACCGCAUGGUUCGAUAGUGAAAGAUGGUUUUGCUAUCACUUAUAGAUGGACCCGCGCCAUAUUAGCUAGUUGGUAAGGUAACGGCUUACCAAGGCGACGAUACGUAGCCGACCUGAGAGGGUGAGCGGCCACACUGGAACUGAGACACGGUCCAGACUCCUACGGGAGGCAGCAGUAGGGAAUCUUCCGCAAUGGGCGAAAGCCUGACGGAGCAACGCCGCGUGAGUGAUGAAGGUCUUCGGAUCGUAAAACUCUGUUAUUAGGGAAGAACAUACGUGUAAGUAACUGUGCACGUCUUGACGGUACCUAAUCAGAAAGUCACGGCUAACUACGUG
rnacentral:rRNA from 1 species